CUGCUCUGUGUUCCAGGUGGGGGACAGAAACCACGGCUCGUGGCGCAUGUGCGAGGCCCUAUCAGGGUCUAGGGCGAUGCUGGAGGGCAUUCUCGUGUUUGAAUCACCAGCUUCCUGCAGAUGUCCUGUGCCUCCCCGGCCCCGACAGACAUGCAUUGUCUCUCCCCCUCCCCCCACUCCUCCCCCAACUCCUCUGCUGGCUUUCCAGGGUCUCCAGUUUGCUGACAGCGGGCCUUGGGACUUGUCAGCUGCAUCAUCUCAUGAGCCAAUUCCUUGUAAUAAAUCACAUGAGCCAAUUCUU